AUGUGCAAGUUAAAUGUAUGUCCAAUAAUUACUAAUACUAAGUUUAUAAUGUUGGCACAAUCUGUUAUUGCCGUUAUCUUCUUGGGAGUACUUGAGAAGGCGUGGCUGGGAAUGUGGGGACACGCCAUGGCAGAGGCGCAUGGUCGGCAGGAGGAGUCAGGGAGGCCUGAAGGUGGACAUGUGGAUGUUAUCGUGGCAUUGACACAUUUCGCUCCACCGAUACCAGGGGGUGGUGGUGCAGGAUUCGUUGGAAGCCACACGGCGCACCCGAGGAGAGGAGGAGAAUGCUCUGAAGAGAGGAAAUGA
rnacentral:rRNA from 1 species